AUUGAACGCUGGCGGCAGGCCUAACACAUGCAAGUCGAGCGGAUGAAGGGAGCUUGCUCCUGGAUUCAGCGGCGGACGGGUGAGUAAUGCCUAGGAAUCUGCCUGGUAGUGGGGGAUAACGUCCGGAAACGGGCGCUAAUACCGCAUACGUCCUGAGGGAGAAAGUGGGGGAUCUUCGGACCUCACGCUCUCAGAUGAGCCUAGGUCGGAUUAGCUAGUUGGUGGGGUAAAGGCCUACCAAGGCGACGAUCCGUAACUGGUCUGAGAGGAUGAUCAGUCACACUGGAACUGAGACACGGUCCAGACUCCUACGGGAGGCAGCAGUGGGGAAUAUUGGAUAAUGGGCGAAAGCCUGAUCCAGCCAUGCCGCGUGUGUGAAGAAGGUCUUCGGAUUGUAAAGCACUUUAAGUUGGGAGGAAGGGCAGUAAGUUAAUACCUUGCUGUUUUGACGGUACCAACAGAAUAAGCACCGGCUAACUUCGUG
rnacentral:rRNA from 1 species